AACGCACAUUGCGCCCGCCAGCAUUCUGGCGGGCAUGCCUGUUCGAGCGUCAUUUCAACCCUCGAGCUCCCCUUGGGGAGCCCGGCGUUGGGGACCGGCACUCACACUGCCGGCCCCGAAAUGGAGUGGCGGCCCCGUCCGCGGCGACCUCUGCGUAGUAACUCAACCUCGCAUCGGGACCCGGGCGCGGCCACGCCGUAAAACCCCCCACUUUCUGAACGUUGACCUCGAAUCAGGUAGGAAUACCCGCUGAACUUAA
rnacentral:misc_RNA from 1 species